GUUUAAGAGCUUUUCUGGGAAGCUCCCACCCUACCUGAGCAAAACGCUCUCCUGGACUGCUCCCACCACCUAUAACCUCCGAUCCAGUACCAGCACUUUACUUAGUCUACCUCAAUACAAAAAGAAAGCGGCCUGAUCCUCCUCCUCCUAUAGAGCGCCACAAUUAUGGAACGACCUCCCGCACAAUUUAAAAUCUUCCCCAAGCCUAAAGUCC